GACGAACGCUGGCGGCGUGCUUAACACAUGCAAGUCGAACGAAGAGCGACGGAAGCUUGCUUCUAUCAAUCUUAGUGGCGAACGGGUGAGUAACGCGUAAUCAACCUGCCCUUCAGAGGGGGACAACAGUUGGAAACGACUGCUAAUACCGCAUACGAUCUAAUCUCGGCAUCGAGGAUAGAUGAAAGGUGGCCUCUACAUGUAAGCUAUCACUGAAGGAGGGGAUUGCGUCUGAUUAGCUAGUUGGAGGGGUAACGGCCCACCAAGGCGAUGAUCAGUAGCCGGUCUGAGAGGAUGAACGGCCACAUUGGGACUGAGACACGGCCCAGACUCCUACGGGAGGCAGCAGUGGGGAAUCUUCCGCAAUGGACGAAAGUCUGACGGAGCAACGCCGCGUGAGUGAUGACCGGCUUCGGGUUGUAAAGCUCUGUUAAUCGGGACGAAAGGCCUUCUUGCAAAUAGUGAGAAGGAUAGACG
rnacentral:rRNA from 1 species